rnacentral:rRNA from 1 species
AGAACGAACGCUGGCGGCAUGCCUAACACAUGCAAGUUGAACGAGACCUUCGGGUCUAGUGGCGCACGGGUGCGUAACGCGUGGGAAUCUGCCCUUAGGCUCGGAAUAACAGUUAGAAAUGACUGCUAAUACCGGAUAAUGACGUAAGUCCAAAGAUUUAUCGCCUAGGGAUGAGCCCGCGUAAGAUUAGCUAGUUGGUGGGGUAAAGGCCUACCAAGGCUACGAUCUUUAGCUGGUCUGAGAGGAUGAUCAGCCACACUGGGACUGAGACACGGCCCAGACUCCUACGGGAGGCAGCAGUGGGAUUUCGCAAUGGGCGAAAGCCUGACGGAGUGACGCCGCGUGUGGGACGAAGGCCUUCGGGUCGUAAACCACUGUCAGUGGGAAAGAAGGGUGUCGGGGUUAAUACCCCCGGCAUUUGACGGUACCUGCAGAGGAAGCCCCGGCCAACUCUGUGCCAGCAGCCGC